rnacentral:rRNA from 1 species
AUUGAACGCUGGCGGCAGGCCUAACACAUGCAAGUCGAACGGUAGCACAGAGAGCUUGCUCUCGGGUGACGAGUGGCGGACGGGUGAGUAACGUCUGGGAAACUGCCCGAUGGAGGGGGAUAACUACUGGAAACGGUAGCUAAUACCGCAUAACGUCGCAAGACCAAAGUGGGGGACCUUCGGGCCUCACACCAUCGGAUGUGCCCAGAUGGGAUUAGCUAGUAGGUGGGGUAAUGGCUCACCUAGGCGACGAUCCCUAGCUGGUCUGAGAGGAUGCCCAGCCACACGGGAACUGAGACACGGUCAAGACUCCUACGGGAGGCAGCAGGGGGGAAUAUUGCACAAUGGGCGCAAGCCUGAUGCAGCCAUGCCGCGUGUAUGAAGAAGGCCUUCGGUUUGUAAAGUACUUUCAGCGGGGAGGAAGGCGGUGAAGUUAAUAACUUCACCGAUUGACGUUACCCGCAGAAGAAGCACCGGCUAACUCCGUGCCAGCCGCCGCGGUA